UAGGAGGAGUAAUGCGUGCUGGAGAACGUAGUCCCCCAGGUUCCCGUUUGGUCCUAGCCUGCCUCACUUUCGUCAAGAGAACUUUCCCAUCUAGUUCUGCCUGUUGAAGAAGGGACUCUUUACAGAGAGGCUCAGACCAUGCUGUCCACAGUCCAAGGCUGCCCUAGGAGAUAACGUUUAAACACACCAGAGCCUGAAGUGGGUGAUCAAUAACCCGGGAGGUGACGCGCUCAGGCCAGGAGGCCCUGGGAGAGAGUGCUGCGGGGAUGCCAGGGGUCCACACCUGGGAAGACGAAGAUGAAGCAGGCGGCCAGUCCUCCAAUGACCGAGAUGACCUUGCCGAUGUCAGGGAUGAAGAGCGCCAGCAGCAGGGUAAGCAGGAACCAGACCAGCGUCUGCAGUACUCGCCGCCGCCGCUCCCGCCCCACGUCCUCCUCCACCGGCAUCCCCUGGUAGCGCAGCCACAGGCCUUCGACCACCGCCCUGCCCACACAGAGAGCGGCUCAGAGGCGCCGCUGCUAACAGCUCCCCACCUCCAGCCAGGGAGCCAGACCCCCGACUGGGUGGAUUGUAGGUAAGACUCUAACCCCUGGGCCUCAGUUUCCUCUUCUUUGAAAUGGGCCUAGCGGCACUCUUCUCAGGGUUGCCGUGGGGACUGGACGGGAUGGUGAAUGGGAACGGCUUAGUGCCUUGCCUGGCCCAGGACUAGCACACCCCAUGGAAACAUAUACUACUAGUCUCCUGAAAAGGAAGGGUCUGGGGUACCCAGAAAGCAGGGUGUUCAGGAAAGGAUCUGGACUAGAGGUUCUCAGAGGACUCACAGAAUGUUCUGGUGACUCUGGGACAAAGGGGACCCCCAAAGACCUGGCUGGGAGUACUUGCAGGGCCAUGCGAGGCACUGACUCUUUCCUCUGGGCUUCCAGUUCUCCUUCUAUAAAAUGGAUUCUACACAAGGCCCAUGUUCAAAGGGCUUUCAGAGGCCCUGGUGAAAGGGAGCACCCCGGUGGGGUGGAGAGGGGACUCACCGCCCACAGAAGUGCAGGAUGGGGUAGGAGGUUAGCACGCUCAGGAUGAUGAAGGCGCGGGCGACGGCCACAGCCAUGUCCUCCGAUGGGUAGGACAGGAGCACAUCGGGGUCCACAGCAGCUCCAAAGGUCAGGAAGCCACAGAUGCCUGAGGGCAGGGACAAGAGGGCUGGGUCCAGGAGACCCUCGGAGGGUUAGGGCCAUGGACUGUUCACUGCUGGGUCCAGCAGCAGGUGGGGAGAUGACGGAGCAGCUCUGCAGGCUAAGACUGAGGCUCAGAGGGGUGCCGAGGCUGGGAUCAGAAGCCUCCCUCCCUGACUUCUCACAUCUCCCACCCCCACACCGUCACCUUUCUGACCUUGAACUCACCCAGCAGUUCCUGUCUCAGAGCUUCCGCAUUAACGUUCUGUCUGCCCAUCUCCUCAUCAUUUAGGUCUCAGCUCCGUUGUCCCCUCCUCAGAGAAUGCUUCCCCGCCCAGCCCGUCCACAAUAAUCCCUGCCCCCAGGCACUCCCUCAUACCACCCUGUUCUGUGUUCCUCAGAGCACUCCUCUCUCUUGGAACUUCUUUUUUUUUACUUGUUUAUUGUCUGUCGCCCCAGGAGAACGGGACUCUGCCUAUUUGCCACCCUUGUUCCUGGCUGUGUCUUCAGAAACCAGAACAGUGCUGGUCCUGAGAACCAUCUGUGGAAGGAAUCACAGGGCCAUUCUUUGUGGUCUCCCAGCGCUGCUCCCUCACCCAAACCAUUUUCUACACAACACCCAGAGCCGGGUGUCCCCGAGCCACGCCCCUGCUGAAACGUUUCCUCUCUGCCUCCCAACAGUCCUCAGGGAUCAGGCUGUGUUCCCUGUCUGGCCGUGCUGCCCGCCACCCACCCUCAAUUCGCUCCACUCCAGCUAUGCAGACCUUCUUCUGUCCCGGCCUCAGGGACUUGAUGUUUUCUGGUUCGUCUGUCUGGAAUGCUUUUCCCCCAGCUCUUCAGAUUCUAGCUCCUUCUCAUGAUUUGGCCUUCCCCAGUUGCCACCUCCCCAGAGAGGAGCCACCUGUGACCUACCCACCAAAGCCAACCCCACUCAGUCGCACUCAACCCCACUCACAGCUUCCUGCUUCCCUGUUACCAUGGCACUCACCACUGUCUGGAUUUCCUUACUGAUUCCUGACUUGCUCCUGUAAGACUCUCUCUCCGACUAGAUUGUCAAUUCCAUGAGGGCAGGACCGGGUCUAUCUACCUCCAUGGCAUCCCCCACGCUGAGAAAGUUCCUGGGACUUACUAGGCACCCACUGAGAGCUGCUGAAUGAAUGCAUGCAUACAUCUUUCUCAUUUGGGCAGGAGGAGGCCCAGGGUGGCCCAAGUUCAAGCCAGUGCCUACAGAAGUGUUUGACGUGUUGGGAGCGCAGGGCUGUCCCCAGGAAAUCCUGGGCCAGACGACUUGGGGACAAAGGGGUAAAGUGGGAGCCCUCUAAGCCCUGCCCUCGGAGGGGAGCACUCACCUGUGCCCAUGUAGACAGCGAGGGCUAUGACCAUGGCGGCCGUCACCACCCCACCCCAGGUCUUCACCUCAGGCCGCCGCAUGCUGUUGAAGACGGGAACACUGCUCACGUGGCACUGUCAGGGUGAAGGGCGGGGUCAUGGUGGGCAAGUGACCUCACCCCCAAGGAUAAGGGGCAAGUCCUGGGGCCCCCACUCCGUCCUUCCUUCCAGGACUCCCCCAUCCUGCCUGUAACGUGGAUUCCAUCCCAGGAUGGGGAGUGAGCUAAGGGGACAAAAGGGACCUUGCAACUAGCACCUGAAAUCCGAAGCAGAUGGUGGGCAUGGCAUUGAACACAGCUAUCCAGGAAGCUGGCCUGCGGACAAACACACAAGAUGCUGCUGCCCGGGAGCCCCUCAGAGUCACCAACCGCCGCCAUGCUCUUACUCUUCAUUCAGCCCCCCACGGCCUCCACCAGCCAGCAUGCACACAUUCAACCCACAGAAGUCUGGGGACUGGGAGAGGACACAUCUCCAUUUACAGGUCAGUAAACCGAGGCUCUGGAAGGCCCUCCUGGGACCAAAAUCCAGAACUUUUGGCUCUUGCACUUGGGCUUUUGCUUCUCUGAUUUGUUCCUUUCAAGAAAAAGGAAACUUUUUUUUUUUUUAAUUAAGAAAAUGGAUUCAUCCUCACGUGGAAGAUACAGAUAUUACAGAUAAGCACAUGUUGAAACAGAUGUGCAAUUCCACCUUGGCAGUUUCCAUAACCUGAGGCCUAGUCUCACAUUGGCUCAUCUGUUGGACAUUAGUGGCAAAGUCUCCCUCAUCUCCGGCUGUCACUCUUCUCUCCAGCAAAAAGAGAUCAGGACCUCUUGCCUCCUUCCUAAAAUGACCAAUGAGUCAAUCCCCAGUGAGCUAAUGAGCCUUGGGAAGAGCACCUGUGUGGCUUUUUGAUGCCUGACCCAGCACCUCCUGGGGCCCGAGUGGCAGCUUCUACCCCAUGUGUCUCCCGGGGGCCCUCACCCACCUGUUCAGGAUGUCCGCUGGGGUCAUCUCUUUAUCAGGCCAGAUGUAUUUGAUGAUAACGAUGGCAGUGACAUACCAGGUGCCCACGACGCUCAGGAAGCUGCCAGGAAGGAUAGAUUAAGCUUCUUCCCCCCAUCCCCAGCUGCCUUUUCUCUCAUUCCAUCCCCAGGGACAUCCACCCUUAACUUUAGUGACCACAAGUGUCUAAUGAACCAACUGGGAGACUAUCCCAAACAAAGACUCAAGAAAUGCAUGAGACAUAAGUUUCAGAGAAACAAGCCACAUUUAGGAAGCCAGGAGGGGACCAGACUGACACUUGUGGCCACUGGGAAAUGAGGUGGUUCAGCUCCAUGGCUCAGAGACCACAGCAGGGGGCUGGGCUUCAAAGCACAUCUGCUACUUCAAUCAGAGCAGCCCAGACUUGGCGAGAGGUGCAAGCAGGGCCUUUGAGAAGUAGGAGAUGCUGGAGGGUUGAAGGCACAAAUACUGGGAAGUCAACAUUAAAGGAAAUCUUGGAGACACUGAGUGUGACCCCUUCGAUAAAGGAUCACAGGAAACAGCUUAGAAUCCCACAGCUUUUCAGACUCUGAGCCAGGAAGCUAGUCCCUUCCCUUCAUACCAAGCUGCAUGGAAAAUGCUGCCAGGCUGACAAUCCCAAAUGAUCAAGAGUCCCAUCCUCCGUGGGAAAGACAAGGCCCAGGCUAGGAGACGGCCUUCACACAUGAUUAUCAUGCAUCCCUUCUUUGACAAGGACAUUUGGAACUGAAUCUCUCACUGAUACAAAGAGCCACUGUCUCCCUUGCUACUGACACAAAAGGAAGGUCUUAUGCCGGAACCCCUGCAAGCCCCGGUCUACCCUGCCUUGCCCACUCUUGCUGCCCCAGGAGAUGAGGUGGCAUGGAGCAGAGGGGUUCCCCUGCAGCCCUUGGGUCUCCAGCUGCCUGUGAUCAGAGCUGCUGUCCAGCGCAGGCUGGGGUGGGGCCUCCGAACCUGGCAUAUUUCUGGAAGCCGAUCUCCCUGGGGAUGGAAAGGGGCAGGAUGAAGAGGAAGGCAGUGAGGCUGAUGGUGAACUUGCGGUCUGUGUACCAGGGGCUGCCGCCGGCCCCCUCAGGCUCCUUUGCCAUCACAGCUAUAACUGCACAGGGAGGAAGGAGGGAACGUGAUGCCAGGCUACUGCAGGGUGUGGUCCUCCACCUCUGCUGGGACCUCCAUCUGUCUAAUGGGCCCAGCAGCCAGGAGGGAGGACUCCCAGAUGAAUGCCGGGCCCAGGCCAGGCCUUGGGCAGGUGUUCCAUGCUCUUUCCCACCCACCGCAUGACCCCCAGGGCUGGGGGGGUACUGAGGGGGGACCUCACUCUUGUCCUGCUGGUCCCCGAUGAUGAUGAGGAAGGCGAUGCAGGUCCCGAAGGUGUAGGUGGCAAUGGCCACCUCACACAGCACGCCUGUCAGCUUGCCACACACAGCCCACACCACCUCCUGGUAGGUCCUCUCAUUGCUGGCCUGGGAGCAGUAGGCCAGGAUGACGAGGCCACUGAUGAUGAAAACCAGCAUGGCCUGCGGGUAGGGGCAUAGCAAGAGCGUGUGGGAAAGGCCUGGCAGCAAAGAGCAGCCUGGUCUUGCUCAGCAUUUACUGGCCCGGUGCCCAAUGCCCAUCUGGCAAAUUAGCCUUAUCUUGCAGGGCAAUUUUAAUGGAUUACUGGAGUUGAGAUUUUCUUUAAAAACGAGAAGUUUUGAGGAAAAUUUCAAACAUAUACAAAGGUAGACAGAAUGGUAUAAUGGACCCCUAUGUACCCAUCACUCAAAUUCAAAAAUCAUCAAUUUACAGCCAGUCUUGUUUCAUCUAUUCCCUCUCCCACUCUGGAUUAUUUUGAAGAAAAUACGAGCUAUCAUAUCAUUUCAUCAGUAAAUAUUUCAGCAUGGCUCUAAGGUAUGGGCCUGCUUUUUAAAUGUAACCAUGAAAUUAUUAAAUAUGCAGUCGAUGUCCAAACUUCCCUGAGAGCUGGGAAGGCUUUUGAAGCCUCAUCUGAGCUCAAAGGAAAGAAUGCUGGAAGAGAUUAGUAAUGUCUGCUAUGUGUGAUGGAGGGGAGAGUGGUAGCAUGUGUCUCCAACUGACCACUCCUGAUCCAGAGCCUCCCUUUUGAGGUGAAGAGCCCAGACCCACCACUAGAACUGCACCUUUGCCCGCCAGGCCCGCUCACUCACCAUCUGCAGCGUGAUGCCAGCUGCCACUCCCCCGGCAGUGCUGAAGGCUGCUGGGAAGUUGAGCAGCCCUGCGCCCAGGCAGGCAUUGACAACGAUGAAGAUGGCUCCAAGUGUGGAAGUGGUGCCUCUGCCCAGACCCCCAGGAGGGGCCUCCCCCUCACUCUUGGGGGCUAUGUCCACAGAGGGACUCUGCAGCAGACGGGCACGCUCCCCGGAGUCUGUGCUUAAGCCCCACUCGCCAAGGUCACUGUUGAUGCUGACCUGGGCCAUGGCCCUGGGAGUCCUGUUCCUGCAGGGUCUGUGGGUUCUGUCUCACGACCACAUGCCCUGGGGAGCUGAGGGAACACCUUCAGCUGGAGGGUGCCACCAGCCUGUUUGGGGCUGUUAUCCUAGGAGGCCUGUGGGCUCUGGCUCUCCUCAACCUAGAUGGGAAAGGCAGAUACUACUGUUAUCUCAAGAGACACAGAAAGGUGAAACAACUUUCCCCAGAUCAGAUGGCUGAGAUCCAAACCCGGGUGUGCCGCUGUGCAGAACACUGCACUGGGUGCCACAGUGUGAUGGCAGAGACAGAAAUGUGUCAGAUGUAAUUCCUGCCUGCUUCAGGCCUACAGACCUAUCAGGUAAAUAAGACAUAAACACAGAAGAGAGGGGUACUGAUAUGUCAGCACUAGAGGCCAUGCAUCGGGCAGGAGUGUCAUGGACAUAUCUCAUUCAUUCCUUAUGACAGUGGUCAUAAGGUUCAGAGAGAUCAGAUCACUCAUCCAGGGUCACAAAGUAGCAAGUUGCAAAGCAGGAUUUAGAUCCAGAUCUGUCUGGCUUCCUCAUUUGUUUCUAUACCACAGGGUCACAAGAACAAUCCUCACCCAGAACUGUGGGUAUUUCAAUUUCUUACAGGCCAGCAUACCUCCCUCCAGAGUCUAAAUUCUGUGGAGCUUUCAAAGCCCUUCAAAAUUUAGGCCAAUUCUUACUUUUCUCCCCACAUGCCUGACCUAACCACUGCCCAUCACAGGGACAUCCCCUCCAAUGCCCCUAGCACACUGCGGGGUUUAGAAUGGCUAGCUAGGCCUCUUGGGUAGUCAGAUGCUUGCCAUUGCUCCUCCUGUGAUGGUUGAACAAAGUUGGGAGCCUUAAACUCAUUAGAGAGAAAAGGGGGAGUUUGGAUGCUCUUAGACAUCUGUCACCAAGCCUGCAACCAAGGGACACAGCUCCAGGGGAAAUGUCUCCCUGCUGGCUCCAAGUCCAGAAAGAUCAGUCAGCUGCCACAGGGCUUCCUCUUGUGCAACCUGCCACCCACCUAGCCAGCAACUCGGCAAAAAAUCAAAGCGGUGAGCAGUGGAGGCAGUUUUGGUCUCCCAAGUUUCCAGCGUAGCUCCAGAGAGAGCCCUGCAAAGUUAGCGCUGCUUGAGCGGUGAGACCUUGUCCUCCACCCUGCUCACAUCUCAGACAGAGGUCUCUGCACUGGUCUGAAAUCUCUCAGCCCCCCUCCCCUCAAGCUGCUCUGCUCCAUGGUCCCCAGCUUACCUGCUCUUUCCACCCCUCUGGCUUUGGUGGAGGGACAGCUGCUCUACAGCUCCUUCUCCCCAAAGAUCUGGGAUCUGAUUCUCCUCACUUCCCUCUCUGCCCUCAGUUUCUUCUUUCUCAAACUCUACCUAAAAUUUGUCAGCAGAGAAAGAGUCAGCUGUUUCUGUGCGGGCCAGCAGAGUGAAGGGAACUGAGGCGCUCUAACUCACGGAGUGGAGCAGCAGCUCAGUUAGGGAAACAGGCCCACGGAGGGAAAGAGACUAGACUAAUGUCACAGCGGCUCGUCGGCAGAGCCAGAACUAGAACCCUGAUGCCCACACGCUCAGGCCAGAGCUAUAACCACUGCAGUAGGCCCCUCGGAUCCCAACCGGAGCAGGUUCCCAGGCCAGCCUGGGGCCGGAUCC